rnacentral:rRNA from 1 species
UCUCUGCUAAUAUGGAAAUAGAGGUAUGGAGGGUGAGGCCUGCCCAAUGGUUGUAUCUAAAAGAGUCGGUAAAAGCCGACUUCAUAAAGACAAUUGAAUGGCCGCGGUAACACUGACUGUGAUAAUGUAGCGUAAUCAAUAGCCAAUUAAUUGUUGGCCGGUAUGAAUGGCGUCACGAAGGCCCCACUGUCUUAAAAAGAUUCCCAGUGAAAUUGAAUUCGUAGUGAAGAUGCUACGUCCAAAUUGUUAGACGAAGAGACCCCAUUGAGCUUUACUGGAAACUUAUGCGGCUAAAAUAUAUUCUUGCUUACAGAGAUCUAUUAAGAGCAAGGAGUUAAAACUUAAAUAAAUAGCUAAGAUUAUGUGGUGUGAGACAUCUUGUUCUUCGACUCCUCUCAUAGAGAGGGGCUCGAUCUUGAUCUAAGAUUUAACCGUUUAAAACCAUCGGCCAAAGCCGUUGGCGAAGGGGGCCCACUCUUUUAUUUUAAGAGAGCUAACUCUCCUUCAUGGUGAGAGAAACGACGUAAGUUGGACAGUUUGGUUGGGGCGACCGCCUUUUAAAAAGUAACGAAGGUGAGCUUAAGGUGCAUAAUUAAUAGCAGACGCCUGACUGCAAGGGGUACGUCCCGAGCAGACACCGGAAGACCUAGACACAAGCUUUUAGGGUUGAAAAGGUGGGCUAUAAUGACCCGUUAGUUUAGAGUGGAAUAGUUAACGAUCAACGGAUAAAAGCUACCAUGGGGAUAACAGCGUAAUAUCGUUAGAGAGCUUUCAUCGACGACGAUGUUUGCGACCUCGAUGUUGAAUUGCAGCACCCUGGGGUGCAGUCGCUCCCAAGGGUUGGUCUGUUCGUCCAUAAG